CUCAAGCGUAGCUUGGUAUUGGAUUUUCGCGGGCUCUCCUAUAAGGAGUGGCUCGCGGGUCCGAAAAGCAGUGGCGGUCCCCGAGGAUUUCGCGCGUAGUAAAUAUUAUCCCGCGUUGGAAAGAAUCGGUGGGCUUGUCAAAACCCCCCAUAAUCUCCAAAAUUGACCUCGGAUCAGGUAGGGAUACCCGCUGAACUUAA
rnacentral:misc_RNA from 1 species